GCGGCCCAUCUCAAAAUCUUGGACCAUUUGUGUAACGUGGGUACAUGGCGAAGUAAUAAUUACGAAUAUGCAUGAAACAAGCCGGUAUUUCUAGAACCCGAUUACAAGCAGCGAUUUGAGUUAUCGCCACUUAAGCGCGCAUAAAAGUACAGGAGGUGCAAACUUUUCACGCGACAAUCAAUCCCACGAAUUUGCCCUAGAUUUCGGUAACUACUUGAAUCAAUUCAGUAUAGAAUUAUUCUUGAAGAAUUCCAAAGAAACUCCAAGCUGCAUAUGCGUGUUCUACACUUUGUACCUAGGGUGCACUUACUUUUAUAAAGAUCUGCUCGAGUUAAUAAAACUUUUUUUAGAGUAACGUGCAUAUCGGCCGAGACCUUGCUUUUUCUCUAAUACACUCUUGAAGUGCUUGUUUGUGCUUUCGUGUUUGUUGGACUUCAGCCACCCGCUUGAGCUCAGGGAAUUUUCCUGCUUCGCACCCUGAAACGCAACCCGAAUUGGAUCCAACCCGGACAUUCUGGAUCGCCACGCUUCUCGCCCACUAGCCCAGCUAGGCAUUCCCCGUGUCUAAUACGGCCCUAAAUUAUCUCCAGAAGCAAGGCUGCUUUUGACAAGCUAAGAAAUGGGAGCCUUGCGUGCUGCUUGUCCUUGACCAAGAAGGGGCCACCUGUAAUGAAACUACAUAUACGAGAGGAAGACAUGAAUUUCUGGUGUGUAUCGCCUAUAGCGGCACGACGCGCGCGAGUCUGGUUUUCAUUAGAAGUUGAAAAGGAGGUCGGGCGACCUGCAUUCCAAACACGCAGGGCCAGAUUAUCAAGGUAUACAUACUGGAUGCUCGAAUGAAGCGUGUUGCUUACCGGCUUGACCGAAGUAGGCAGCAACGUGUAAGGCUGUCACGCCGAGUUUCUUGCUGGAGAUCCGGAGGGAUUGGGAG